UACGUAGGGUGCAAGCGUUGUCCGGAAUUAUUGGGCGUAAAGAGCUCGUAGGCGGUUUGUUGCGUCGGCUGUGAAAUCCCGAGGCUCAACCUCGGGCCUGCGGUGGGUACGGGCAGGCUAGAGUUCGGUAGGGGAGACUGGAAUUCCUGGUGUAGCGGUGAAAUGCGCAGAUAUCAGGAGGAACACCGAUGGCGAAGGCAGGUCUCUGGGCCGAUACUGACGCUGAGGAGCGAAAGCGUGGGGAGCGAACAGG
rnacentral:rRNA from 1 species